GUGCCAGCAGCCGCGGUAAUACGUAGGAUCCGAGCGUUGUCCGGAAUUACUGGGUGUAAAGGGCGUGUAGGUGGAGCUUUAAGUCGGUGGUGAAAUCCUGCGGCUCAACCGCAGAACUGCUUCCGAUACUGGGGCUCUUGAGUACGGCAGAGGGAGAUGGAAUUCAUGGUGUAGCGGUGAAAUGUGUAGAUAUCAUGAAGAACACCGGUUGCGAAGGCGGUCUCCUGGUCCGUUACUGACACUGAGGCGCGAAAGCGUGGGGAGCAAACAGGAUUAGAUACCCUCGUAGUCC
rnacentral:rRNA from 1 species